CGCGUGACUGAUAUUAGGUAGAUAUGAUAGUGGUGCCUCACAGGCAAUCUGUUUUUACAUCUACUACACAUCAUAUAAUAUAUUACAGGCACACAAGCUUGGUUUUUGUAAAGAUACUACAAGUGAGCUCCACAAAAAUGAAGCAUACUUACUUGUUACAUCAUGCUUUCUAUUCCCUGUGAUAUUAUAAUGGUAGCCCUUAGAAACUUCAAAGAGCAUCAAAGGGGUCUUUGUUGUGAGCCUGCUCGUCAUUGCUUCUGAUUCUGCGAAGUUUGAGUGAAUAAGAAAUUGCUUGGAUUGGCUGAUCAGUCACUCGAAUCAGGUUGUAAGAACAUGCUCCAAGCAGUGUUCCCACCACUGGUCCAAUAAUGUAGACCCAUAUCCCCUUGUAGUAUGCGCUAGCAAUUGCUGGCCCUAGCGACCUUGCUGGGUUCAUAGAUCCGCCUGAUACUGGGCUGAGGAUCACUAGACGGAUGGUUAGUUUUAUAAUUGUGGAUUGUGUGUAUCGUACUACGGUGGCCAAGGGCCGAUUCAGGGUUAAAAACUUAGAAUGACUCUGGGGUUUUUCCAAUUUUAGGAUUCCCAUUUUGUUCUAAUUUAAGAAAUAAUUUUUUAUUUUUAUUUUAAAAAGAAAAAAAUCGGUUUGAUCCAAUAUUAAUAUUAAUCGAUCUGAUUUUAACUGGUUUGAAUUUCAAUUUGAAGUGAUCCAGUUCCACUCUAAUUUCGGUUUCGAGCCAAUUCCUGACCAGAUCUACAUCAAGUUCUGGUCUUGGUAGAGGCAUUCCUGACUGAAAUUUUUGGUUUCAUUUAUACACCCAAGUUAAUUAUUUUAUUUAUUUAAUAAAUGUUUGUUAGAAAUUGAAGAUCUAGACCCAUUAAUUUCUUCUGUUAGGUAUGGCUUACCCGGCCAAGAUGGAUGUUAUACACACUGCAGAACCAACUGCUACACCUGCC
rnacentral:misc_RNA from 1 species